rnacentral:rRNA from 1 species
GGCUCAGAUUGAACGCUGGCGGCGUGCCUUACACAUGCAAGUCGAACGGCAGCACGGAGCUUGCUCUGGUGGCGAGUGGCGAACGGGUGAGUAAUAUAUCGGAACGUACCCUAGAGUGGGGGAUAACGUAGCGAAAGUUACGCUAAUACCGCAUACGAUCUAAGGAUGAAAGUGGGGGAUCGCAAGACCUCAUGCUCGUGGAGCGGCCGAUAUCUGAUUAGCUAGUUGGUAGGGUAAAAGCCUACCAAGGCAUCGAUCAGUAGCUGGUCUGAGAGGACGACCAGCCACACUGGAACUGAGACACGGUCCAGACUCCUACGGGAGGCAGCAGUGGGGAAUUUUGGACAAUGGGCGAAAGCCUGAUCCAGCAAUGCCGCGUGAGUGAAGAAGGCCUUCGGGUUGUAAAGCUCUUUUGUCAGGGAAGAAACGGUGAGAGCUAAUAUCUCUUGCUAAUGACGGUACCUGAAGAAUAAGCACCGGCUAACUACGUGCCAGCAGCCGCGGUAAUACGUAGGGUGCAAGCGUUAAUCGGAAUUACUGGGCGUAAAGCGUGCGCAGGCGGUUUUGUAAGUCUGAUGUGAAAUCCCCGGGCUCAACCU